UUUAUGAGCCCCUCCUGAACGGAGAUUCGGAUUCUCAGUUCUUAUUUAUAUCCAAAAGCAAAAGAAACAAAUUUAAUACAAAUAUAAAUUUUCUAAAUUCGAAAAGAAAAAUAUUUUGUUCAGUUACAUUAAUUGACGGGUUUUGUCGCAACUAUUCAAAAUGUCAGAAUCGGAUGUGAAUAACUAUUUACCAGCUGCACUUAAAGCUGCUGCUGGUGGAAAUAUGCUGCAAUGCAAUAAUUGGCUUACGGGCGGCGCUGUUGUUCUAUAUUUAACUGCGGCUUUGUAUAUCGAAUUCCGCAAGAUGAGCCUAUUCAAGAAAAGCCCGGGCAAGGAAUUCUGGAAUUCUAAUUCCAAAGCACCGAUAGAUAAAUAGCUAACAACUAGCAAGAGAACGGGAAUACAAAUAAUUACACGAUUUUAAAAGUAUGCAACCCGAUAAAAAGAUACCAGAAUCCUGAAUGAUCUAGAUUAUUAAAUAUACGCAAUUAUGUGUUUAUCAAACUACUUGCUUAUUUGUUUGCGAGAGAUAAACACAUACCUACGGCUCUUCUGAUGGGGUAUUAAAAUGUAGAUUUGUAACAAGCAAGUAGGCAUAGAUAUAAAAAUUUUCGACUUUACUUCGAUUAGUUCGCUCUGAUAUUUGUAGUAGGCGAGGCCAACUAGUUUUAUACUCUCUUUCUGAACGUAGAGUAAAUCAUCAUUUCUAUUCAGUACCUCAGUCUGAAAGUAACACAAAACAAUUUUACAAAAUUCUUCAAAUUUGAAUCUCAUAAAAAAUAUUUGAUUUUUCCAUUAUUUCGAAGUUUGUCCCAAAACAUACACACAUAACAUAACACAUUUCAUAUAGCGAACUUUUGACUUAAGUAUUCAAGAUGCCAGAUUUACAAUCACUAGCAUCAUCUGCAGCACAGGUAGCAACAGAUGCGAUGACAGUAGGUGCAACUAUGAAAUCUGGAGUGGACAUUCCACAGAGUAAUUAUUGGUUUACAGCAGGUGCAGUCGUCUUGUAUUCGGCAAGAGCAUUGUAUACGAACUUCAGCAAUAUGAGCCUUAACAAGAGGAUGGUAAAACUAAUAAAGAGACACACGGAAAGGAUGAGGACACUAAAACAUUUUUUUAUACCAAUGAUUUUUAUCAUAUAUUAAAAUUAAUUAGUUCGAAAAUUUA